GGGAUUGUUUUGACUGACCCUUCGGUCUUCUUUCCUUGGGAUUUUGGUUGCGGCGGUAUCUCUAUUCGUUGAAUGUUCUCUCUUCUUCCUCUUCCUCUUCGUCGAGUGAGCUGUGGCGGUGCGUGCGGGUUUGGGUGAUGCUGCGGUGACAGCUGGGAUACAGCGGUGCGUGCGAGUUUCGGUGGCGUCGUCGUGGCCGCCCGUCUUCUUCAUGGCAGCUUGCUUCUCGCUGCUGAGGUAAGCUGCAUACAGGAGAUGGAUACGUAGCCAGGUAGUUCUGUACUGAACAUAGAACAGAAAUAUUCAUCAGACUUGUGGUGUUUCUUCUCAAGAUGGUAUUAAUUUGACCCUGACUACGAGUGUUGAGGGAGUGUUUGUGCAAUGAGUGAUUUCCAAGAGCAGAUUGUGAAAUCGCAUAAGUGAUGACCACCUUAACCAUUGACUAGUGAUAUUUAUUGAGCAAGCUCUGUUCUUUGGAGUAACUGGGGAUGAUAAAGUUGAGACUGAUAUGUCCUGCCAGCUGUUUUGCAUUCUUUUCGCAAACUUUGAACAUAUUUGGUGAACCACAAUAUCUUGGUCUUCAUAAAGUUAUUUCUAUUGCUAUUCUGGUAAAAUAUUGUAUUGCAUCAGAUCUUUUUGGAGUGUGCACACCCUCUGAAAAAAAUCCUGACUCCGCUACUGGUCUAUGCAAUGGCACGAAGCUGUUGACUACAAAGGUGACUGUUUGUUUUGGAGGCCACAGUUCUCACAAGGAUGGAAUAGAGACGAGUUGGUCUGUAUUCCCAGCGUCGUGCUCAACACGUCGAGUCGACUGUGGCCUUUUGUUAUGCAGUGGAGGCGAUGGCAAGUAACAAGAGCGAGCGACAAACAUCAAAAAAGUUGGCAUUUAUUUGAAAGGUAUAUGUGUCUGAUUCACAUGGCCAACUAUAUGUGUCUGCUUCGCUCCUCAUGGACUGAAAAUUUUAGUUGAAUCCGAAGAUGUGUUCUGGACCGCAGCGAAGAAUAUAGUAUGUAAGGAAGUCCUUUCCCCCUCGAAGAUCGCUUGAUGAUUGCUUCGCUGUUGUGGUCUAGGAUUUUUGCCUUCCAUCUAUAAACAUCUUUGUUCAUGUGCUUGCAGAAAUGUAUAGUUGGUUUUUU